rnacentral:rRNA from 1 species
GUCUACGGCCAUACCACCCUGAACGCGCCCGAUCUCGUCUGAUCUCGGAAGCUAAGCAGGGUCGGGCCUGGUUAGUACUUGGAUGGGAGAAAUCUCCACCGUAAUUA